rnacentral:rRNA from 1 species
GUGCCAGCAGCCGCGGUAAUACAGAGGGUGCGAGCGUUGUUCGGAAUUACUGGGCGUAAAGCGCGCGCAGGCGGUCCUUUAAGUCUACCCGUGAAAUGCCGGAGCUCAACUCCGUGCACGCCGGGGGAUACUGGAGGACUGGAGACGAGUAGAGGCAAGCGGAAUUCCGGGUGUAGCGGUGGAAUGCGUAGAGAUCCGGAAGAACACCGGAGGCGAAGGCGGCUUGCUGGGCUUGGUCUGACGCUGAGGCGCGAAAGCGUGGGGAGCGAACAGGAUUAGAAACCCCAGUAGUCC